ACGGCAUAUAACAUUUAUCAAACACCAUCCUCUCUCUAUUUCCUCCAGACGGAGAUGACCAAGCUCUCAAUCUUCACUGUUUUACUAAUUUUGCUGUUAAUAUUUCAAUCAGACUGUCGUCUCCUUGACUCUGACAAUAUAUAUGAGGGGAAGAUGGGUGUAAAAGAGAAGAUGAAAAAGAGAACCGACGAAAAAGCAGGAGCUUUCUAUAGAAGGAAAGAGCUUCUAUGGAUACAUUCUCCAAACAAACAUUGCUAUGUCGGCCCAUGUUAAUUUAAAAACAAUAAAACUAACAAUAUGUAAUAGUUACGCUCAAUAAGGUUAGUAUUAUGUCUAUCUGUAAUAUGUAAUAGUUCAACAUUUAUGUAAGGCGAGGAAUAGCAAUAAUCAAUUGCCAAAUUUCUAGUCGUAUGAUUCCUCUGGUUCAUUUUGAUGAUGUGAUUAUAUAAGUAUCGCAUGAAUAUCGGAUGUCAUUUUAACUUCAAUCUGUAUCAGAAUUGCUGGAAUA